GGAAUAUUGGACAAUGGGCGAAAGCCUGAUCCAGCAAUGCCGCGUGAGUGAUGAAGGCCUUAGGGUUGUAAAGCUCUUUUACCCGGGAUGAUAAUGACAGUACCGGGAGAAUAAGCCCCGGCUAACUCCGUGCCAGCAGCCGCGGUAAUACGGAGGGGGCUAGCGUUGUUCGGAAUUACUGGGCGUAAAGCGCACGUAGGCGGACCGGAAAGUCAGAGGUGAAAUCCCAGGGCUCAACCUUGGAACUGCCUUUGAAACUCCUGGUCUUGAGGUCGAGAGAGGUGAGUGGAAUUCCGAGUGUAGAGGUGAAAUUCGUAGAUAUUCGGAAGAACACCAGUGGCGAAGGCGACUCACUGGACACGUAUUGACGCUGAGGUGCGAAAGCGUGGGGAGCAAA
rnacentral:rRNA from 1 species